rnacentral:tRNA from 1 species
GGCCUUUUAGCUUUAAUAGCUUACCGUUUUCGGCUCGGUAGGAAUGAUGUGUUUGAUCAUAAAGGCUU